GUAAGUAAGUAAAGAAGUUGCUUGUAAUGAACUGACAAGUUAAGAGGUACUUCAUUUCAGUUUUCCGAUCAGCCUCAUCGGUGUUGUGUUGAAUGCUGAGCUUAAGCCGACAGACAGCAUUCUGAUGUAGCUGUUCCCAUUCUCCAGGUGUGUGAAGACUGAGUGGAAGGUAGUAGAUAUGGCAUCCUCGUCCCAGGCACUGUUAGAAUAAUGAUUCUGUGUGAACUCAGACAUUUCUGCACUUGCAAGACCACCAAAGGACAACGUAGAGCUUUGAUUCUCCCGCUUUGCAUCGAAGAAGACCACCCUGUAUGAAAUGAUGACUUCCCUCUGCAGACCACACUGGAAUACUGUUCAAACAUAUUGCCCAAAGGUAUCUAAGAUUGACCGAAACAUUUC